rnacentral:rRNA from 1 species
UACAGAGGUGGCAAGCGUUGUUCGGAAUUACUGGGCGGAAAGGGCGCGUAGGCGGCACUGUUAGUCAGGCGUGAAAGUCCUGGGCUCAACCUGGGAACUGCGCUUGAUACGGCAGAGCUAGAGGAUGGAAGAGGCUCGCGGAAUUCCCAGUGUAGAGGUGAAAUUCGUAGAUAUUGGGAAGAACACCGGUGGCGAAGGCGGCGAGCUGGUCCAUUACUGACGCUGAGGCGCGACAGCGUGGGGAGCAAACAGG